GACGAACGCUGGCGGCGUGCCUAAUACAUGCAAGUAGAACGCUGAAGAGAGGAGCUUGCUCUUCUUGGAUGAGUUGCGAACGGGUGAGUAACGCGUAGGUAACCUGCCUUGUAGCGGGGGAUAACUAUUGGAAACGAUAGCUAAUACCGCAUAACAAUGGGUGACACAUGUCAUUUAUUUGAAAGGGGCAAUUGCUCCACUACAAGAUGGACCUGCGUUGUAUUAGCUAGUAGGUGAGGUAACGGCUCACCUAGGCGACGAUACAUAGCCGACCUGAGAGGGUGAUCGGCCACACUGGGACUGAGACACGGCCCAGACUCCUACGGGAGGCAGCAGUAGGGAAUCUUCGGCAAUGGGGGCAACCCUGACCGAGCAACGCCGCGUGAGUGAAGAAGGUUUUCGGAUCGUAAAGCUCUGUUGUAAGUCAAGAACGAGUGUGAGAGUGGAAGUUACACAGUAGCUUGAGCGUAUAUUAAGUAC
rnacentral:rRNA from 1 species